AUUGAACGCUGGCGGAAUGCUUUACACAUGCAAGUCGAACGGCAGCACGGACUUCGGUCUGGUGGCGAGUGGCGAACGGGUGAGUAAUGUAUCGGAACGUGCCCAGUCGUGGGGGAUAACGUAGUGAAAAUUACGCUAAUACCGCAUACGAUCUAUGGAUGAAAGCGGGGGACCGCAAGACCUCGCGCGAUUGGAGCGGCCGAUAUCAGAUUAGGUAGUUGGUGGGGUAAAGGCCCACCAAGCCAGCGAUCUGUAGCUGGUCUGAGAGGACGACCAGCCACACUGGAACUGGGACACGGUCCAGACUCCUACGGGAGGCAGCAGUGGGGAAUUUUGGACAAUGGGCGAAAGCCUGAUCCAGCCAUUCCGCGUGCAGGAUGAAGGCCCUCGGGUUGUAAACUGCUUUUGUACAGAACGAAAAGGUUUCUACUAAUACUAGGAGCUCAUGACGGUACUGUAAGAAUAAGCACCGGCUAACUACGUGCCAGCCGCCGCCGUAA
rnacentral:rRNA from 1 species